rnacentral:rRNA from 1 species
UACGGAGGGUGCGAGCGUUGUCCGGAAUCACUGGGCGUAAAGGGCGCGUAGGCGGCCUGGUAAGUAGGGGGUGAAAUCCUGCGGCUUAACCGCAGGGCUGCCUUCUAAACUGUCAGGCUCGAGCACGGUAGAGGCAGAUGGAAUUCCCGGUGUAGCGGUGGAAUGCGUAGAGAUCGGGAGGAACACCAGUGGCGAAGGCGACUACCUGGCCUGUUCUUGACGCUGAGGCGCGAAAGCUAGGGGAGCAAACGGG